rnacentral:rRNA from 1 species
CCUACGGGAGGCAGCAGUGAGGAAUUUUGGUCAAUGGGCGUAAGCCUGAACCAGCCAAGUCGCGUGAGGGCUGACUGCUCUACGGAUUGUAAACUUCUUUUAUAAGGGAAUAAAGUGCGGCACGUGUCCCUUUUUGUAUGUACUUUAUGAAUAAGGAUCGGCUAACUCCGUGCCAGCAGCCGCGGUAAUACGGAGGAUCCGAGCGUUAUCCGGAUUUAUUGGGUUUAAAGGGUGCGUAGGUGGGCUUUUAAGUCAGCGGUGAAAGUCUGUGGCUCAACCAUAGAAUUGCCGUUGAAACUGGGAGGCUUGAGUAUGGUUGAGGCAGGCGGAAUGCGUGGUGUAGCGGUGAAAUGCUUAGAUAUCACGCAGAACCCCGAUUGCGAAGGCAGCCUGCCAAGCCAUGACUGACGCUGAUGCACGAAAGCGUGGGGAUCAAACAGGAUUAGAUACCCUUGUAGUC